GGGAGGCAGCAGUGGGGAAUUUUGCGCAAUGGGCGAAAGCCUGACGCAGCAACGCCGCGUGGGGGAUGAAGGCCUUCGGGUCGUAAACCUCUUUCAGCAGGGACGAAUCAAGACUGUACCUGCAGAAGAAGCCCCGGCUAAAUACGUGCCAGCAGCCGCGGUAAUACGUAUGGGGCAAGCGUUAUCCGGAUUCAUUGGGCGUAAAGAGCGCGUAGGCGGCUUGGUAAGUCAGAUGUGAAAACUGGGGGCUCAACCCGCAGCCUGCAUCUGAAACUUCCAGGCUUGAGUCUGGUAGAGGAAAGUGGAAUUCCUAGUGUAGCGGUGAAAUGCGCAGAUAUUAGGAGGAACACCAGUGGCGAAGGCGGCUUUCUGGGCCACGACUGACGCUGAGGCGCGAAAGCUAGGGGAGCAAACAGGAUUAGAUACCCCGGU
rnacentral:rRNA from 1 species